AAAGCAGAUUGUAGCACAACAAAACAAGUGCCCUCUCUGAGGCUCGAACUCAGGACCUUCAGAUUAUGAGACUGACGCGCUGCCCACUGCGCUAAGAGGGCCUUCGCUUAGGGGUGCUUUCUACCUUUCAUAAGAAAAUACCUGCAGCACCUUCCGCUCGCUAAGUCGCUUCUGCAAGGUCGGGCUUGCAGGCAGAAGCACCUGGUCUCCCCCAGUGGGGACACGUGGGAGGGUCUCUCGCGGGAACGGAGCAGCCUGGGCUCAGGGAACGAGCCCCGCGCCGGGAAGAAAGCUGCCUGCCGGGAGCGCAUCCUCGUGAGGACCCGGAACCCGAGCCGCCGCGGCUCACCCAGAGGAGGGGGGGCCCUGGGGUGCGUGUGCGACGCCCGGCGCGCAGACUCUGGGCACGGCCACAAAGGAAACUUUGAAGAGGAACUUUUCUACUGCCUGCAUCAUGGAAGUCCUGGGAAAAGCAGGUAGAAUGGAGUCACCAUCACAUUGAGCUAGAUGCUGGUUCUAGAUAUUGGCAGACCGCUGGCCUCCCGAGGACCACAGGAAGGGGCCUGGCAGACUGGUGAUCCCAGUCAGAGAUGAAGAGGGUCCAAUUAAGAGGAGCCGACUGAUGCCUGGAGGUUUCCUCCCCAGGAGCGGCGAGCCUGUCAGAGCUGCACCUGGGCCUUUCUGUAUCUGGGAGAGAGUCUGGGCAUGAUUGGCUGGCUUCCCACCAACACAUGGGGCUUGAGGAGUGCACUGCCUCUGUUCCACGCCUGAUGUCAUCCACAUCCACACCUGUGCAUCUGGCCAGGAGAGUGACUAUCACUGUUGAGGGCAGUGUGAUGUGGCUGGCUAGAUACUUCUGAUGGUUUCUCUUGAGCUCAGCCUUUGCACUUCACCUGUGUGAGCCAGAGGGAAAGCUAGGGUGGAGAUGGACCAUCCUGGGUAAGCUGGGAUCCCACAGUGAGAUUCCACACCACGGGGUGUCAGAACCUCGAGUGCUGGUGGCAGCUGUGGUGGGGGUGGGGUGGCAUUCCUGUCCUUUGCCACUCAUUGGCUGUGUCACCUUGGAAAAGUUAUCUAAACCCCUUGGUGCCCCAGUCUUCUUUGUCCCAUGGCAAUCUGAGUAGUCCAGACCUGGUUGGAUGACUCUGAGCUUUCAUUGAGGUCAUAUAUGCAAAAAGUUUUUUUCAGCAGCAUUCUUUUUAUUUAAAAAGAUUUUUUAAAAUGGGAAUACUCACUAAAAGGAGUAUCUGACCUCAAUAUCUUUGGGUGUCUGGGAUUGAGGGGUGUUCCUGAAUGGGCAUCAGGGAUUGAUAAACCCUUGUGUUAAAGAGGAAAGAAACAUGAAAUGCAGCUUUAACAGUUAAAGACAGAUUUACUUUAGAUAAAAUCCGAGAGGGGCCUUUUGGACAGGAGUGCUUUCUCUUACAGACUAAGAGUACAUAUUGGUUUUGGGAUGAGGGGCUUUUCACAAGCUUGGAAUGUUUCUGGGUUGGGGAGAAGUUUAUGGCAAGGUUGGAAUGUUUCUGGGCAGAGGGGAGGUUUAUCUCGGGGCUGACAUCUUCCCAGCUGGAGUGGGGUUAUCUUGGGUCUAGCAUGUCUGUGGUUGGGGAGGAGUUUGGAAUGUUUCUGGUUGGAGAUGUUAUUUGUGGUUUAUGACUAUGCUGACCUUAGCCAUUAGGCUGAUGCCCUUAGGCUUUAGGUGGUUUUUGAUUAAGGUGAAUUUUAAAAUGAGGUGCUAGUCCACGAUGGUGAGGCUCCUGCUCUGUCAUCUUGCCCCCCUAAAUUGCAAAGCUUUGUUUUUGUGUAUGCAUAUAUACAUUUUUUUCCCUUAGGAGCAAAGGCAAUAGCUUAACUAAGAUGCUCAGAGGGGUCAUGAUGUAAAGAUUGGAUGCCUGGGGCGAGGGGUGUUUCAAGUGCCUUUAUUUCAGACCAGAGCUUCUCACCCUGAGGAAUAAUGCCAUUUGGGGCCAAAUCAUUCCUUGUUGUUGCAGACUGACUUGUGCAUUGCAGGAUGAUUAGCAGCAUCUCUGGCUCUACCCACAAGACACCAGUAGCACCCUCCACUCCAUCCCCACCUUAGUUUUGCCAAUAAAAAAUGUCUGUCCAAUGUCUCUGGGGAGGUGGUAGGAGG